UACGUAGGGACCGAGCGUUGUCCGGAAUCAUUGGGCGUAAAGAGCGUGUAGGCGGCCACUUAAGUCCUGCGUGAAAUCUUGCGGCUCAACCGCAAGCGGUCGUGGGAAACUGGGUGGCUAGAGUGCGGGAGAGGAGAGUGGAAUUCCUGGUGUAGCGGUGGAAUGCGCAGAUAUCAGGAAGAACCCCCGUGGCGAAGGCGGCUCUCUGGAACGCAACUGACGCUGAGACGCGAAAGCGUGGGGAGCAAACAGG
rnacentral:rRNA from 1 species